rnacentral:rRNA from 1 species
GGGACACGUGGUAUCCUGUCUGAAUAUGGGGGGACCAUCCUCCAAGGCUAAAUACUCCUGACUGACCGAUAGUGAACCAGUACCGUGAGGGAAAGGCGAAAAGAACCCCGGCGAGGGGAGUGAAAAAGAACCUGAAACCGUGUACGUACAAGCAGUGGGAGCCUCUUUUAUGGGGUGACUGCGUACCUUUUGUAUAAUGGGUCAGCGACUUAUAUUCUGUAGCAAGGUUAACCGAAUAGGGGAGCCGAAGGGAAACCGAGUCUUAACUGGGCGUUAAGUUGCAGGGUAUAGACCCGAAACCCGGUGAUCUAGCCAUGGGCAGGUUGAAGGUUGGGUAACACUAACUGGAGGACCGAACCGACUAAUGUUGAAAAAUUAGCGGAUGACUUGUGGCUGGGGGUGAAAGGCCAAUCAAACCGGGAGAUAGCUGGUUCUCCCCGAAAGCUAUUUAGGUAGCGCCUCGUGAA